rnacentral:lncRNA from 1 species
AAAAAAAAUAUUGCAAUUGACAAAACAAAACUCUUAAACCCAGUGAAAACCCGUACCACACCAAGUAGAUGAACCCAAUAUUCAUUGAAAGGCACCAAUCAUUCAUCCAAUAAUACAUCUCCUCCAUACGCUUUCCUUUAUUAUGUAGAAAUAAAGAAACCAAAAACCAUAAUUGAUGUAGAGAUAACGUAAUAUCAACGCUCAUGUAACCCUUAGCGUGGACACCACUCCUCCACCCAAACACUUGCAUCACCGUGUACCACCAUUGUAUAUGUAUUUGGUUUAAGGAGACCAAACACAUAAACAGAUCCAUGACCAAACUAACCAACAAU